GCAGCUGACCUUUGGGUCGCCACAGCGGCCGAUCCAAUAUGGCCGCCAAGUAUUGUACUUUUAGUGAAGCCCUAGCUGAACACACUUUUUCAUACAGUCCCAUAGUGCAUGUGCUGUCAUUCCCACCUGCUGCCAGCAGAGGACGUCACAUGCAUGAUGAAUAAUGCCGUUCUCUGGCUGUCCUAAGUACUGUCAGACGAGAGCCAAAGGUUCAUGGAAGGUGAAAUAAUUCCUUUUUUUGUCGAUUCCCACAGCUGGAUGAUGAUAUUGGUAGAACUGGUUUUAGACCCACAAAGGUCACAGUAUUUACCAGCUGACAGUGUCACAAAAAUACACUUUUAACAAGCAAUGCGUUUUGGGGGAAUUUUAAUAGUUGCUAAAUAAUAAUCACAGAAAGGACAAUCUCACAUUAAGGUGUGUUUUAUAUUUAAAAAGAAAAGAAGCUAAGUCCAUGAAGUCUCGGGAAAAAAGAUGGGAAUAGGUUCACCAUUCUGAGAGACUGUGGAUUUUGCCACUUUUUGGUAGGCCUAGCUGCAAUGAUCCAUAAGGCGACUGAAGUUGUAUGAGUACGGCUUUUUCUGAAAUGUUUUAAAUAAAAGGAAGCCUCGAUAUAGUGUCAAAAAUGAUUGGGGUGGCUCAUGGUGGCAUACCUUGUGACUCUAGAGCAAAGUUUGUCGUGCAAAGCCUCUCUUUCUGAGUUAUCUGCAUGAUUUCAAAGUCACUUCUGAACGCCACCCAGCAGGCCCAAAGUCAUCCUCUGAUUUUUACCAGUCCUUGAGGAGCUGAUGGGUCAACUAUUAAGACAAUGUCCCCAAUAUUAAAGUCCAUUUUUACUUGAGUGAUGAAGGACCAUGUACCUGUACACCAAGUACAACCUCCUGUCUUGAGAAAUGAAGCUGAUGUUCAAGUGCUAAAAAGUACAGUACUCCAAGGUCCCGCUUGAGGCUGGCUGCAGAAGCAUUACAAACCACGAACACAAAGAGCUCUAAAAGCCUGAGCAAAAAUAAACACAUUUACAGCCUGACUCAAAAACAGUUUGGUCUGAUACAUUGUGGCAAGAAGGAGAGUGAGGCAGGCCCUCCCUCCUCAGAGGUAAGGGGAGGGGCUUGCCACUCAUCAGAGUAAGUGAAUGCACCUGAGUGCUGAGAGAAGGAGAGGGCAGACAGACAGUGCAGGGCCAGGAGAGAGGUGACAGGAAAGUGAGACAAAGAAAAGUUUGUGAGCUGACUGGAGAAAUAAAACUGAAAGGACACCAGCAACGGAGAAACCCCCCGGAGUGUGUGGAACCGACCGUCUCAAGGGUCAAUGGUCAGGCACUCGGAGCCUCCUCAUUCUGGAGUAAAACCUUGACUGUUAAACCAGCUCAGAUAAGUUGACGUUAAUUGUUUCCCGGCUUUCCCCGUCCUCUUGGUCCCUGUCUGGAUUCCCUGUUCCCUUCCACCUCCCUCCCCCCAUACACCUACAACACUCCACACCACAUACCAACAAACUUGAACUGGACUCUUUUUUUUCCACAUACACCCACAUAGCAUUCCCCCCACACACACACGUCACUCACACACUUACAUUUUGGACAUAUACAAAAGAACUGGACUUCACACACACACACUCAUUUAUUUUCUCAUUUUUGCUAUUUUUUAAGGAUCUUGGGACUAUUAUUUAAAGUUGUAUUUGGUUUUUGUUGAAUGCGGUUUUGUGCUAUUUUGAUUAGUUUGUCCCUGUUUUGCUUUAUUGAACAUUUAACUUUGAUAAAAAGUAUUUUUUCUUUACUCCCGAAUCUUUUGUUGAAAUUUUGUAGCAGGGGUAUCGAUCGAGCUAGUCGUAUUUUCUUUAGAAUAUUUCUGUAGAUUAAGUCUCAGGGUAUUUUGAUUUUUUAUAAAUUCAUGAUAGGAUGAUUAGUUCCCCUGUCUGGCGCCCAACUCCAAACCUAACC